GAUGAACGCUGGCGGCGUGCCUAAUACAUGCAAGUCGAGCGAACAGACGAGGAGCUUGCUCCUCUGACGUUAGCGGCGGACGGGUGAGUAACACGUGGAUAACCUACCUAUAAGACUGGGAUAACUUCGGGAAACCGGAGCUAAUACCGGAUAAUAUAUUGAACCGCAUGGUUCAAUAGUGAAAUACGGUUUUGCUGUCACUUAUAGAUGGAUCCGCGCCGCAUUAGCUAGUUGGUAAGGUAACGGCUUACCAAGGCAACGAUGCGUAGCCGACCUGAGAGGGUGAUCGGCCACACUGGAACUGAGACACGGUCCAGACUCCUACGGGAGGCAGCAGUAGGGAAUUUUCCGCAAUGGGCGAAAGCCUGACGGAGCAACGCCGCGUGAGUGAUGAAGGUCUUCGGAUCGUAAAACUCUGUUAUUAGGGAAGAACAAAUGUGUACGUAACUAUGCACGUCUUGACGGUACCUAAUCAGAAAGCCCCGGCUAACUACGUG
rnacentral:rRNA from 1 species